rfam:Oryza sativa Japonica Group DNA, chromosome 2, cultivar: Nipponbare, complete sequence.
AAUAAGUGUAGUUUUAUACUAUUCACGUUCAACGUUUGACCGUUCGUCUUAUUUGAAAAUUUUUUAUGAUUAGUAUUUUUAUUGCUAUUAGAUGAUAAAACAUGAAUAGUACUUUAUGUCUGAUUAAUUAUUUUUAAAUUUUUCACAAAUUUUUUAAAUAAGACAGAUGGUCAAACGUUGGGUACGGAUAUCCACGGCUGCACUUCAU